rnacentral:miRNA from 14 species
AGUUGGAAGUGGGAUCCUGACA